GUGUAGGAAAGGAGAGGAGGUUAGCACUCCCCUCCAGAAGGAUGGAAGAGGUCCUAGUGGCCAUUACAACACAUAUGUGGUUAAGGUCCUGCCAACUACUUCAUAGCAUCUGAUCAAGUUUUUUA